AAAAAUAUCAGAGUUGCUCCUGUGUCUGCACAGACAGAAUCUGUAAAUUUUAAUUUUUUGUCAUUUGGCUUCUAGAUGUCCUUGGCGUGUGCACCCUUGUGGAAUCCGGUUCAUCUCCAAUCUGUCAAGAAGCAUCAGAGGUGGUUUUGAUUCCUUAUGUCCUGAGUCUGUGCACAAAAUGUACCUUGUGUGGAAGAAAAUGAGAUCCCGAGUGAAGUCUACAAUGUCAUUGACUCUGAAGAAGGACUCAGAGACCCAUUGGUGUUUAAUGACCCUUACUGGCCUAUGCAAUGGGAACUGGUAUGAUCUUCAGAAAUAGAUGGUUCUUUGGCAAUGUUAAGAAAUAUUAUUUUUGUCAUAUUUUAAUGCAGUAGACAGACACUUUUAUGCACUGCCUGCUUUUAUCUAUUGGUUUUGCAGAGAGAGACUUAGCAAACUUUUGAUGAAAUAUUACUGCCAGCUUAUUAAUGAGUACUAAUCCUUUUAAUUUGAUUACAUCCUUAGGGUUUGAUUUGUUCUAUAAAAGAUACCAGUUUAAAAAAAAAAAAAACUAAGACAUUUAAAUUUGCUGUAUGUAAACAGACUCAUUACACAGAAAUGUUGUUGCCAUCCAGGCUUAAAGUUCUUGUUCUUGCAUAACCAGAAUAUAUUCUAUAUUACAUCAAUAAUGAGAGAAUUCCUCUCUGUCUUUAUGGAUUAAGUAGACAUUAGAACAUUGCACAACAAACUUUUUUUUUCAUAAUGCUUCUAGUGUUGGACGUUUUAGAACCACAUUGUCCUGUCAUUUAUACAUGAUUGUGAUAAUAGAAAGGAUUUGAAAUGAAAAAAAAAUCACACAUAUUUUUUGAAUGUAAAUAACUAAAAAAAAAUUUGAAGUACAUACCACUGAAGAUUUUAAAAGGAAAUAUUUGGAAUGUGAGAUGACUUGGUGAAAAUAUCAGAGAAAUUGAAGACCUUCUUAUAUCCAUACUUAGCUCCUCAUAGGUCUAUAAAUAAUAUGGUGUUGU
rnacentral:lncRNA from 1 species